GCCUGCCUUGGCCUCUCAAAAUGCUGGGAUUACAGGCAUGAGCCACAGCGCCUGGCCAAUAUUUUUAUAUUUCUAUUGGACAGUGUAGUUUCUCCCGUAUUCUUAAUACAUGACUAGCCACACGGAGUGACAUUCCAAGCCAGAACCGGAAAACUACUCCCCCAAUGGCAACGGAAUGUCUUUGUGAAGAAUCAAGUAUUUCAUACUCGAGUGUUACAAGCAUUUUCAGAGUGUGUCUCAAACAAGGACACUGGGGAUGGGCCUCGGACAGUGCAAGAGGGAACUGUUGCCAGGCCUGGGAGGAGCCACUCACGAACACAGGGAGGGUGCGUGUGUGUGGAGCGGGGCAGUAGACCCAGAGUUCUCACUGGUAGCAUAUUUCAUGGCACAGCUGGGCAUAGAAAUCAUAAUUUCUGGGCACAGAAAUAAAGAAUUUGUAUUAUUUUCUUCUCUCUUUUCUCUAAUUCUCACAUUUUUUCUUCUCCCCUCUCCUUUC
rnacentral:lncRNA from 1 species